rnacentral:lncRNA from 1 species
GUGGGGCUCCAGCCCGGCCACGGGGAGACCUUUUCUCAGCAAAGGGCAGCACUGCUCGCUUUGCUGGGGCAGCCCUCCCAGGAAGAUCCCAGAAGAGAUGGUCUGAGGUGUGUGAACACUGUGAAUGUCAUGGACAAAGCUCAGCGUGGGACCCCAUGGGACUUCAGGUUAUUAAGAUGCCCUGAAAGCAGCAGAUCUCACCUGCAUUGGAGGAUGAGACGCCACAUGAAGAAGAAAGAAGACGCCACAGACAGCAGCGCAGUACCACCUUCCAGAGAUGUGAGUGUGACCGUCUUUGACCUUCUAGCCCAGCUGCUUUCCCUGAAUGCAAUGCAUGAGCAGGCCAGGCAAAACUAGAGAGGGAAGCUGCCCAGCUAACCCACAGAAUUAUGAGAGAUAAAAAAUCAUUGUCUUAAGCCACUAAGUCUGUUAUGCAGCAAUAUAUAGCAUUCAUUCAACUUUUGUCUCAUGAAUACUCUCAUUUCUUUUAUAAGUUCUUUUGUGGUUCAAAUUAGCUCAAAUCAGUUUCUGAUGCUUAUGACCAAAUGCCCCUAUGUGAUAGAUUUUGAGGGGUUAAGAAGCUUGCUCGGAUCACACAGCGGUAAGUAGCAGCACUUCAUCUUUAACCCACCUCUGGCCCACUCCCUUUCCAUAGGUCCUUGUUGCCUCCCUCCCUAAUCCCUUCCAGUCUAGUUUCCUCACUCAUUUUAGCAUCUUGAAGAUGCCUGACCUUUUGUAACAGGCACUUAGAAGAGGCAAUAAUCAAGCUGUGAGCUGGAAUACUGGGUUUCUCAUCCAAUAACCAGGUUGGCAGGUUGGUAACCAUACAAGGGACUUUUCAAACUGGAGAAUUAGUGUGCUGAGCACAAAGUGGUGAGUAUUUUGAGAGUUACUGAAAUAUAAUUGACAUAACAAUAAAAAUACAAUAUUUAAGUGCAUGUAUUUCAAGUGUACGAUUUGACAAGUUUGGUUAUAUUAUAUACACCUACGAAACCAUCACCACAAUUAAGAAAAUGAGCAUAGCUAUCACACACAAAAGUUUCCUUGUGCCCCUUGGUAAUUCCUCCCUCUCUCCUGCCCACAUCUCUCCUUUUCCCAGGCAAUCCCUGAUCUGAUUUCUGCCGCUAUCAAUUCGUUUGCAUUUCCUAGAAUUUUAAAUAACUGAAAACAUACAUUAAGAACUCUUUUUCUCUGGCCGAGUAUGGUGGCUCACGCCUGUAAUCCCAGCACUUUGGGUGGCCAAGGCGGGCAGAUCACCUGAGGUCAGGAGUUCGAGACCACCCUGGCCAACGUGGUGAAACCCUGUCUCUACUAAACAUACAAAAAUUAGCCAGGCAUGGUAAUGGGCAUCUGUAAUCCCAGCUACUCGCGAGGCUGAGGCAGGAGAAUUGCUUGAACCUGGGAGACAGAGGUUGCAGUGGGCUGAGAUCACGCCACUGCACUCCAGCAUGGACAACAGAGCGAGACUCCGUCCCCAAAAAAGAAAAAAAAAAAGAACUUUUUUUUCUCCAGCUUCUCCCACUUAGCAUAAUUAUGUUGAGAUUCAGCCAUGUUUUCCUGUGGAUCAAUAAUUUAUUUCUUUAUAUUGCCAAGUGGUAUUCCAUCGUAUGUAUAUACCAUAGUUUGUUUAUCCAUUCAACCACUGAAAGACAUUAGGGUUGUUUUCUGUUUUGGGUUAAUAAAACAAAGCUUCUGUGAACAUUUAUCUACAAGUCUUUGUGUGGAUAUAAGUUUCCAUUUCUCUUAGGUAAAUAUCUAGGGUCAUAAAAUAAGUAUAUACCUAAAUUUUGAAGAAACUACCAAACUAUUUUACAAAAUGGUUGUAUUAUUUUACCUUUUUGCCAGCCAUAUAUGAGAGUGUCAAUUCCUUCACAUUCUUGUCAAAACUUGAUGUGUUCAGUCUUUUUAAUUUUGACCAUUCUAAAAGCAUGUAAUGGGGCCGGGCACAGUGGCUCACACCUGUAAUCCCAGCACUUUGGGAGGCCGAGGCGGGCAGAUCACGAGGUCAGGAGAUCGAGACCAUCCUGGCUAACAUGGUGAAUAAUACUAAAAAUACAAAAAAUUAGCCGGGCAUGGUGGUGGAUGCCUGUAGUCCCAGGUACUCAGGCGGCUGAGGCAGGAGAAUGGCCUGAACCCAGGAGGCAGAGCUUGCAGUGAGCUGAGAUUGCGACACUGCACUCCAGCCUAGGUGACAGAGCGAGACUCUAUCUAAAAAAACAAAACAAAAAUGAAAAAAAAAAACACACAAAAACAUGUAAUGGUAUCCCAUUGUGGUUUUAACUCACAUUACUGUCAGAGGCAUUGGAACCAGAGUGACUCCAUCUUGAGCAGAGGCUAGAUAAAAUAAAGCUGAGACCUUCUGGGCUGCAUUCCCAGGAGGUUAGGCAUUCUUAGUCACAAGAUGAGAUAGGAAGUUGGCACAAGUUACAGGUCACAAAGACCUUGCUGAUAAAACUGGAUGCAGUAAAGAAGCUGGCCAAAACCCACCAAAACUAAGAUAGUGAUGAAAGUGACCUCUGGUUGUCCUUACUGCUCAUUAUAUGCUAAUUAUAAUGCAUUAGCAUGCUAAAAGACACUCCCACCAGUGCCAUAACAGUUUACCAGUGCCAUGGCAACAUCAGGAAGUUACCCUAUAUGGCCUGAAAAGGGGAGGAACCCUCAGUUCCAGGAAUUGCCCACCUCUUUCCUAGAAAACUCAUGAAUAAGUCACCCCUUGUUUAGCAUAAAAUCAAGAAGUAACAAUAAGUAUAAGCAGCUGAGCGGCCCAUGCUGCUGCUCUGUCUAUGGAGCAGCCAUUCCUUUAUUCCUUCACUUUCUUUGUUUUUUGUUUUUUGUUUUGUUUUUUUGUUUGUUUUGAGACAGAGUCUCACUGUGACACCUAGUUUGGACUGCAAUGGCGCGAUCUUGGCUCACUGAAACCUCCGCUUCCCAGGUUCAAACGAUUCUCCUGCCUCAGCCUUCCGAGUAGCUGGGACUACAGCAAGAAUGGCAACUGACCAGGUAGGCUUAUUUAAGUUUGCAUUGCUGGAACUUUUUACAAGUAAUCUCAGAUUAUGCUUUCAAGAGUUCUUGAAGCUAUAAAGCCAAGUCAAGCACCACCAGGCCUUAUCUGCAAUGCCUAGAGAUUCAGAUGGGUUCUUCUCUUCUUGAGGUCCUAAAAACAUCCUGAGUUUCUUUGGCCUGCCAGAAAGUCACCUUCCUGACUCACCUGUAAGGCUGGGAACUCCAUAAUCCAGUUGGAAAUGCAGAAAUCACCUGUCUUCUGCGUCGAUCAGGCUGGGAGCUGCAGACCGGAGCUGUUCCUAUUCGGCCAUCUUGGAAUGGACCCCCAUGUCUUAUUCUCAAAUAAAACAUUUUGGUCAAAGCCUUGAUUAUCUAAUCAAUUUUUAAAAUUAUGUUCUGUUACAAAAAGGACAGAUUCUUAUCGAACCCAUAUAAAAUAGUAUAUC